ensembl:misc_RNA predicted gene, 27528
GGAAGGCAGAGGGUUUUGCUUGGAUUUCUGUGCUGGCCACGUGGCCGUACAUUCAGCACUCCACGAUGCUGUUUCUGGAGCCAGACAGAGUGAGUUAGGGCUGCAAACAGGAUCUGAACGGCCCCCCGCUCUGGAGAGGCCCCUCCGUGUAAACAGUAUGAGUUUCUGGGAAACAUACAGAAGACCAGACUGUCAGGAAAGG